AUUUAAUUUCAGAUUCUGAUACCGCCUAAAGAUUUAAUAAACAAACUGAAACAGGAAGCUGACACACCAAAAUUGGUAUUGGAUCAAGUAAAAUACAGAGUAGAGUGGACUAAACAUCAAGAAGCUAUUAAAAGACGGGAAGAGGAGGAGGCUGAAAGGGAAAGAGUUCAGUAUGCUCAAAUUGACUGGCAUGAUUUUGUUGUUGUGGAAACUGUUGAUUAUCAACCAAAUGAACAAGGACUUUUUCC